ACUGCAAUCAAGAGGCAGGCAGAGAGAGAUCUGACACACACGGAGAGGAGAAGGCCAUGUGAAGAUGGAGAAGACUGAGUUUAAGGUGCUGGCCUUGGAGAUUGGAGAAAUGUGGCCAAAAGCCACAGAAUGCUGGGAGCCACCAGAAGCUGGAAGAGGCAAGGAGCAAAUUGUCUUCUGGAGCUGAUGGAAAGAAAGUUUGUCUGAAUACAUUUGAAAUGGUCCAGAGGAAGAAAUGUCUACACAGUGAGUGGCUAAAGCAUCUGAAACAGCACUGUAGCUUCUAAUCCAGAGGCUAGGAAAUUCAAGGCACUGGCAUGUUCAUGUUUGGUGAAAGUCCGCUUCCUGGUUCUUCACAUGGUGGAAGAGAUAAAGGAGCUCUCUGGAGCCUCUAUUAUAAGGGCCCUAAUCUCAUUGGUGAGGACUCUGGCCCUUGUUACUCAAUCACCUCCCAAAGGCUCCACCUCCAAAUAAUAUCACGUCAGGGAAGGUUUCAACUAGAAAUUUUGAGGGGACACAAACAUUCAGUCUAUAGCAAUUACCAUUAUCAUCCAAAACUUUUUAAAUAUAUGUGUUCUUAUAAUUUAGAGUUAAGGAAACUGAGCUGUUCAGGGACUCACCUAGAACCAUAUGGUUAGUAAAUGAUAGAGAUAAAAUUUUAACUCAGGGAUGUCUAGCUACAAGACUAUAAUAUUUUCCUAACACUGUGCUGCUUUCUCAUACUCUCAACCAGGGCACAAAUGGAUGGUGAUUUUUCAAAUUUUCCCUUCCUACAAUUAACAAACUGUAGCACAACAGCUCUCCGAAAAAUAACCUAAUAACCUAUGCAUUGCUUAUAAAAGCCCUACACAAGCAAAUUGCAUGAUAGAAUUCUAAAACCAGAGCUGAAAUCCUUUAUUUUCCUGGAUAAACUGAAAUGAAGGCAAUUGCUCUGCACUGUGAUAAAUGGAAACCAUUUUUGACAUACCAAAUUGUUUGUCUUGCUAUUUGGAAGUGAAUCCCUUAUUUUCAAAGAAAUAUUAACUUAUUUCAUAAAAUAAUCUUUUAUU
rnacentral:lncRNA from 1 species